rnacentral:rRNA from 1 species
AUUGAACGCUGGCGGCAGGCCUAACACAUGCAAGUCGAACGGUAACAGGAAGACGCUUGCUUCUUUGCUGACGAGUGGCGGACGGGUGAGUAAUGUCUGGGAAACUGCCUGAUGGAGGGGGAUAACUACUGGAAACGGUAGCUAAUACCGCAUAACGUCGCAAGACCAAAGAGGGGGACCUUCGGGCCUCUUGCCAUCGGAUGUGCCCAGAUGGGAUUAGCUAGUAGGUGGGGUAACGGCUCACCUAGGCGACGAUCCCUAGCUGGUCUGAGAGGAUGACCAGCCACACGGGAACUGAGACACGGUCCAGACUCCUACGGGAGGCAGCAGUGGGGAAUAUUGCACAAUGGGCGCAAGCCUGAUGCAGCCAUGCCGCGUGUAUGAAGAAGGCCUUCGGGUUGUAAAGUACUUUCAGCGGGGAGGAAGGGAGUAAAGUUAAUACCUUUGCUCAUUGACGUUACCCGCAGAAGAAGCACCGGCUAACUCCGUG